GCCUGGGUGGCUUAGUCAGUUAAGCACCCAACUUUGGCUCGGGUCAUGAUCUCACAGUUUGUGAGUUCGAGCCCCGCAUCAGGCU
rnacentral:tRNA from 1 species